CGGAAGAGAGGAAGCAGGAAAGAGUUAUGUCUUUUUGGAUAGGGAUACGUGAGGACAAGAUAUAGCUACUAGAGUCUCCCGGUUUCAAUGGCGGUACUGUCAGGAUUCACCACUAGAGGCUUUAGAUUUAACAAGCCUUAUGAGAUUAGGAUUUUAGUUGUUACCAUUGUUUCUGAACUAAGUCUGUGUUGCGUUUUUCCUUCACAGUGGCUCAUCUGGGUUCAAGAGAGAAAGGACUCGAAGAGACCGCCUUUACAACUCCAGGGAAAGCUGUUGACACAGACUCCUGGUUCUGCUUGACAUCUUUCUUCUCAGAUAGAAGCUCCUGGACUUCCAGACCGGCUCCAGUGGAGUCACGGGAAGGAAGAAGAGGAAAUUGUAAACCACGAGGCAUCAUGCCAGAGGAAAUGCCUCCGGUGACCCAGACUGAAUGCCCUAUGGUCUCAAAGACCCCACAUUCAAACUGCACGAUGUCUGGGUGUGCUUGACUCCAAGUCUCAGGCAGGGGCUAUCCUCUGUCUCUGCUUUUCCAUACCAUGCUCUCUGCUGUAUAUCUUCCUUAAGCUGCGUAAUAAAGAAUGAUAAGG
rnacentral:lncRNA from 1 species